GAUGAACGCUGGCGGCGUGCCUAAUACAUGCAAGUCGAGCGAACAGACGAGGAGCUUGCUCCUCUGACGUUAGCGGCGGACGGGUGAGUAACACGUGGAUAACCUACCUAUAAGACUGGGAUAACUUCGGGAAACCGGAGCUAAUACCGGAUAAUAUAUUUAACCGCAUGGUUCAAUAGUGAAAGACGGUUUUGCUGUCACUUAUAGAUGGAUCCUCGCCGCAUUAGCUAUUUGGUAAGGUAACGGCUUACCAAGGCGACGAUGCGUAGCCGACCUGAGAGGGUGAUCGGCCACACUGGAACUGAGACACGGUCCAGACUCCUACGGGAGGCAGCAGUAGGGAAUCUUCCGCAAUGGGCGAAAGCCUGACGGAGCAACGCCGCGUGAGUGAUGAAGGUCUUCGGAUCGUAAAACUCUGUUAUUAGGGAAGAACAAAUGUGUAAGUAACUAUGCACGUCUUGACGGUACCUAAUCAGAAAGCCACGGCUAACUACGUG
rnacentral:rRNA from 1 species